rnacentral:rRNA from 1 species
GACGGAGGGGGCAAGCGUUGUUCGGAAUUAUUGGGCGUAAAGGGCGCGUAGGCGGAUUGGCAAGUCUGACGUGAAAUCUCCACCACUCAACGGGGAGAGGUCGUUGGAUACUACCGAUCUGGAGUUUGGUAGAGGGUCGUGGAAUUCCAGGUGUAGCGGUGGAAUGCGUAGAUAUCUGGAAGAACACCGGUGGCGAAGGCGGCGACCUGGGCCAAAACUGACGCUGAUGCGCGAAAGCUAGGGGAGCAAACGGGAUUAGAUACCCCGGUAGUCCUAGCCGUAAACGUUGGAUACUAGGUGUGGGGGGUAUCGACCCCCUCCGUGCCGAAGUUAACACAUUAAGUAUCCCGCCUGGGGAGUACGGCCGCAAGGUUGAA